CCUACGGGAGGCAGCAGUGGGGAAUAUUGCACAAUGGGGGAAACCCUGAUGCAGCGACGCCGCGUGAGUGAAGAAGUAAUUCGUUAUGUAACGCUCUAUCAGCAGGGAAGAAAAUGACGGUACCUGAGUAAGAAGCCCCGGCUAACUACGUGCCAGCAGCCGCGGUAAUAAGUAGGGGGCAAGCGUUAUCCGGAUUUACUGGGUGUAAAGGGAGCGUAGACGGCAGUGCAAGUCUGGAGUGAAAGGCGGGGGCUCAACCCCCGGACUGCUCUGGAAACUGUACGGCUGGAGUGCAGGAGAGGUAAGUGGAAUUCCUAGUGUAGCGGUGAAAUGCGUAGAUAUUAGGAGGAACACCAGUGGCGAAGGCGGCUUACUGGACUGUAACUGACGUUGAGGCUCGAAAGCGUGGGGAGCAAACAGGAUUAGAUACCCCAGUAGUC
rnacentral:rRNA from 1 species